rnacentral:lncRNA from 1 species
AUGAAAGUGCAGUUUUCGAUCUGAAGCCAUAUUGACAGCAGCAAAACCUAUAGCUACAGGACUCCAAAUGGCAUGAAAAUUUACAGCAUGCUGGAGAAACACAAGGGGUACAACUAACUCCAUUGGACCAACCUCAAAAGAGCUACAGAUCACAAAAUGCAAGCAAGACAAGACAGCAACAAAAUAUAACAGAUUCCAGACUUAGAAAUAUUUCAGCUCCUCCAAAUCAGCACUAUUUCUAGCAACUUGAGAGCAAGCAAACCACACCUAA